GUGUCAGUUCACUGAAAUAAAUAACAGGCAGAAAAAAAUAUACAUAAAUACACACUACAGAACAUGCAGGUUUCCAAUUAAAUUUGGUUUAAAAAAAAAAAAACAGCCAUACAAGCAAAUUAUAACACAAACACAAUAAUUGUUAAUAAUAUAAAGAGGUCAGCUCUGGGAUGAAAAUAAUUACCAGUAAACAUAACAAGUAAUGAGGAUAUUUGGUACCAAAGAAUGUGCAGGAUACCAAAUAAAUCGAGGUAUAAAAUCACAUUUUCAAGCCAUUUCGAACAAUAAGAAAAGUGGUAAUAAUUUAGAGUAAAGCUCUAGAGUAGAAUAGACCAUUGACCUUAUUCACCGCGCCUCCAUCUUGAAAUCCAAAUCGAGGCUAGGGGGUACACUCUAAACCGGAAGUUCAUUGACAGAGCGCAGCAGCGGGCGUCUGUCAUCAUGGCGAUACCUGUGUGGACAUCAAAUCUUUCAUGUCUUCCCAAAAUAACAGUGGACAAUGUUGAAAAAUGGGCCAAUAAGGACUGCAUGAUUCCCCAGGCUGUUUUGCUGAAAGGAUACAGCAACUGGAUCGAGGGAUAUGUGCACGACGUGGAAGGUUGGGUAGCGAGGGCGGCCACGUCUUUAAGGUCAGCUGGCGACCACAGGCGGUGGACGAAAAUAGGGCAUGUAGUCUUCACCUCCUGCAUCUGGAUUCGUAACUUCUACCAUGGGGAACCGACCUUCAAGCUGCCCAAACAAUGUGACGCUCCUGGUCCUCCCAGCAAUUGGGAACGUCGCGCCAAGGUCGGCCGCGAGCGAAGGAUAAAUCUUCCGGGCAGGAGGGGGACUAUCUUGAGACAGCUUUGGCGGCAUUUCUACCCGUGGUUCAGGAACUGCUGCAGACUUUCGUAGUGGGGCAGCUGUAUAGGAUGGAGGUUGGCCAGAAGGAGGGCAGUCCAGGUCAACAUCCACCCUAGUGGGAGAAGCCAGAACACAUUGAUCAGUAGUCCCACAUUACUCUGCGUAAACCUUUUAUCAGUCUCUUCUUUCCACAUACCAUAAGCUUUCCAAUCAACAUUUCCCCCCGC
ensembl:lncRNA